CUUGAACACUGCCCACAAAACACACGCACGCACACACGCACACAUAGUUAUGUGUUUUCCACUAUGGUUUUCCAGUAAAUGCAGAGAGAGAUUCUCCCAUCAGCCCGGAAAGGCAGGAAAAGAGAGAGUAGAUAGAGAGAGCGCCAGAGCAGACGGAGCAAACGUGAAGUCAGAGGCUGCUCACAGUCAGUGUCAGUGUUUUUCCUCUCAGACUGAAGAUGAGUGGUUAUGAGGAGGAAGAGGAGGACAGAGCAGAGUCUCCGGUGUUCAGCUGUGUGUCUCUGAAGAGUGACCAGUCCAUGGAACUUCCUCUAACCUUCAGUAAUGAACCUGGACCCUCACAAACAAAAGGUCAGGACCACAGACUGAGAGCAGAGUCUCCAGGGUCCAGCUGUGUGUCUCUGAAGAGUGACUGGUCCAAAGGAGAGCCUCCAAACUUCAGUAAUGAUCCUGGACCCUCACAAACAGAGUAAGAGACUGUUUCUACUGUGAACUGCUCUGAAGAGGAUUUAGUUUCCUCUAGUGUGGCCCCUGCAUUAGGACACAGCUUCAUUGAAGUUAGUGACUAAUCUCUCAGAAUCACUCAAAGAGCUCAGACCUCCACCAAGAACCAACACGCUCCUUAUAAAACCACUUUGGAAUUCACUAGAUACUCAUUUUUAUUUGGAUCUGCACCAAAUUCCACACACUGGUAAACAUCAGUCCUCUGAACAUGUCUGUGGAAGUAGAAAGAAACCCUCCCCUUAUGGGUUUGCGAUCAGUAAUUAAUAUCUUAAUUGUGGUUUAAACGACGUGUGAGCUCACGUUAUUGAGUAUUAUCGAUUGUGAUCCAUGCGCCACGCAUUCAUACUCUGAUGUCAAUAUAUUUGGCCGCUUUAGAUGAUAAAUGAAAGACAAUAAAAUCAUUGACGGGUUUUUCCGCAUACUCACAAACAAACAUGUUUUUUUUUUGUAAAAGUAUGGAGCUGGAGGAGGUGGAGGGGAGCGCUCCGUUCGGUUUGACGGAAUGAUAGACACACAGAGGAGCAGUAAAUUAACUGCCCCGGACUUGGUGGCGCUGUGACCGGGCUGUGCGCCUUCUCCCGCCUGAGGAGCUGUCUGUGGUCUCUGCGUCCGGGUCCAUAGCCAGGGACUGUUUAUGUUUAUUUAUCGCAAGUCAUAUCUUCAUCGCGAUAUUAAACAACGUUAUCGAUAUCGCAUGUUUUCCUAAUAUGGCACACCCCUACUCCCCUCUCCCUGAUCUGGUUCACAGACCACAUCCUUCCUCCAAAUUGACUAUCUGUAUCCGUAGUUUUUUAUGAUCCGACUAACGAACCAACCAACACACAAACAUACAGGGUGAAAACUAAACCUCCUUGACAGAAGUAAUGACAA